GGCAGUACCGAUGAAGAGAUUUUCACAAAAAGCUGAUGAAUUUCAAUAAAAAAAAUUCGAUAAAAUAUUACAUCAAAACAACGCCGAGGAGCGAAUCCCAAUGUUAUCAUACCAUGAAAUAAUUUAUUGAGCAUAUAUAAUUCAACGAAUAAGAAAACUGGAGGCAAUCGCUCGGUCGCUCGCUCCAUCUCUGGCCGGAAGUAAGUGAUUUUUGCCGGCGCCACCUCAGCUUCCGUCCGAUACACAGACGGAGAGAGAUGUAUGGAGGAAGAGAAUAAGUUGGAGGAAAUCGCCUUUGUUCUUCGUUUUCUUGGUCUACUUGCGUCUCUGACUCUCCUUCCCUGAUAAGACGAAGAAGAAACAAAGAAAACCAAACAGAGUUUAAAUAUUCAUGGUUAAUAUAUGAGUAUCGAUUUAGUAUGAACCAAAAACGAAAAUUACUAGCAACAACAUUCGAGGAGUUUGUUAUGGAAUUGUAUUUUUAUUGGAAUAAGUUCGAGGUUGGCUUGGCUGCGUCUAGUUGUAGUUGGCGGGUUUGCGACAUUCAGGACAUGGGUUAGUAAGUAGAGGGCUAGUUGUAGUUGGUGGGUUUGCGACAUUCAGGACAUGGGUUAGUAAGUAGAGGGCUAGUUGUAGUUGGUGGGUUUGCGACAUUCAGGACAUGGGUUAGUAAGUAGAGGGCUAGUUGUAGUUGGCGGGUUUGCGACAUUCAGGACAUGGGUUAGUAAGUAGAGGGCUAGUUGUAGUUGGCGGGUUUGCGACACGGGUUUGCGACAUUCAGGACAUGUAUUUUUAUUGGAAUAAGUUCGAGGUUGGCUUGGCUGCGUCUAGUUGUAGUUGGCGGGUUUGCGACAUUCAGGACAUGGGUUAGUAAGUAGAGAUAUGACGGCCGAAU
rnacentral:lncRNA from 1 species